CCUACGGGAGGCAGCAGUGGGGAAUAUUGGACAAUGGGGGCAACCCUGAUCCAGCCAUGCCGCGUGUGUGAAGAAGGCCCUCGGGUUGUAAAGCACUUUCAGUGAGGAAGAACGCCUGGUGGUUAAUACCCAUCAGGAAAGACAUCACUCACAGAAGAAGCACCGGCUAACUCCGUGCCAGCAGCCGCGGUAAUACGGAGGGUGCGAGCGUUAAUCGGAAUUACUGGGCGUAAAGCGCGCGUAGGUGGCUUGAUAAGCCGGUUGUGAAAGCCCCGGGCUCAACCUGGGAACGGCAUCCGGAACUGUCAAGCUAGAGUGAAGGAGGGGAAGGUAGAAUUCCCGGUGUAGCGGUGAAAUGCGUAGAGAUCGGGAGGAAUACCAGUGGCGAAGGCGGCCUUCUGGACUGACACUGACACUGAGGUGCGAAAGCGUGGGUAGCAAACAGGAUUAGAUACCCCGUAGUC
rnacentral:rRNA from 1 species